rnacentral:rRNA from 1 species
CAGCAGCCGCGGGAAUACCGAGGAUGCAAGCGUUAUCUGGAAUGAUUGGGCGUAAAGCGACUGUAGGUGGCUUUUCAAGUCUGCAGUCAAAUCCCAAGGCUCAACCCUGGACAGGCGGCGGAAACUACCAAGAUGGAGUACGGUAAGGGCAGAGGGAAUUUCCGGUGGAGCGGUGAAAUGCGUUGAGAUCGGAAAGAACACCAACGGUGAAAGCACUCUGCUGGGCCGACACUGGCACUGAGAGACGAAAGUUAGGGGAGAAAAUGGGAUUAGAUACCCGGGUAGUCCCUGUCUCUUAUAC